rnacentral:sRNA from 1 species
AUCAAAUGAUGGAACAGAGCAGAAGAACAGAACAAGUUCUGUUAGUGCAGAG